AAACCAACAGGGAUUGCCCUAGUAACGGCGAGUGAAGCGGCAACAGCUCAAAUUUGAAAGCUAGCCUUCGGGUUCGCAUUGUAAUUUGUAGAGGAUGAUUUGGGGAAGCCGCCUGUCUAAGUUCCUUGGAACAGGACGUCAUAGAGGGUGAGAAUCCCGUAUGUGACAGGAAAUGGCACCCUAUGUAAAUCUCCUUCGACGAGUCGAGUUGUUUGGGAAUGCAGCUCUAAAUGGGAGGUAAAUUUCUUCUAAAGCUAAAUAUUGGCGAGAGACCGAUAGCGCACAAGUAGAGUGAUCGAAAGAUGAAAAGCACUUUGGAAAGAGAGUUAAAAAGCACGUGAAAUUGUUGAAAGGGAAGCGCUUGCAAUCAGACUUGUUUAAACUGUUCGGCCGGUCUUCUGACCGGUUUACUCAGUUUGGACAGGCCAGCAUCAGUUUCGGCGGCCGGAUAAAGGCUCUGGGAAUGUGGCCUCCACUUCGGUGGAGGUGUUAUAGCCCAGGGUGUAAUACGGCCAGCCGGGACUGAGGUCCGCGCUUCGGCUAGGAUGCUGGCGUAAUGGUUGUAAGCGAC
rnacentral:rRNA from 2 species